UCCCUGAUGGUCCAUUGGCUAAGACUGCCAAUGUAAGGGGCCCCAGGUUCGAUCCCUGGUCAGGGAA
rnacentral:tRNA from 1 species